rnacentral:rRNA from 1 species
UACGUAGGGGGCAAGCGUUGUCCGGAAUCAUUGGGCGUAAAGCGCGCGUAGGCGGCCCGGUAAGUCCGCUGUAAAAGUCCAGGGCUCAACCCUGGAAAGCCGGUGGAUACUGUCGGGCUAGAGUCCGGAAGAGGCGAGUGGAAUUCCUGGUGUAGCGGUGGAAUGCGCAGGAUAUCAGGAGGAACACCGAUGGCGAAGGCAGCUCGCUGGGACGUUACUGACGCUGAGACGCGAAAGCGUGGGGAGCAAACAGG